rnacentral:rRNA from 1 species
UAAGGAAUAUUGGUCAAUGGACGAAAGUCUGAACCAGCCAUCCCGCGUGCAGGAAGAAGGGGCUCUGCCUUGUAAACUGCUUUUGAAUGGGACGAAAGAGCUAUAUGCGUAUAGUGUUGACGGUACCAUUAGAAUAAGCACCGGCUAACUCCGUGCCAGCAGCCGCGGUAAUACGGAGGGUGCAAGCGUUAUCCGGAAUUACUGGGUUUAAAGGGUGCGUAGGCGGACUGAUAAGUCAGUGGUGAAAUCUCUCGGCUUAACCGAGAAACUGCCAUUGAUACUGUUAGUCUAGAGUACAGAUGAUGUGGGCGGAAUAUGACAUGUAGUGGUGAAAUACUUAGAUAUGUCAUAGAACACCGAUUGCGAAGGCAGCUCACAAAACUGUAACUGACGCUGAGGCACGAAAGUGCGGGGAUCAAACAGGAUUAGAUACCCAAGUAGUCCCUGAGCGGGCUGGCAAGGCGCAU